CUCUUUCAUUUCCGAAACUACCCUCCCACUCUCUCGCUCGCUCAGCUCAGCCACUCGCUCGCUGGCUCCCGAACCCCUAGCUCACCACCACCGGCGCCUUUCCGUCGCACGCGUCGUCGGCGCCUCUACUCCGCACGCAGCCCCUCCGCCUCUCCCUCUCGCAUCAUCACCGCCUUUCCAUGGUAGCGGGGAUCUCCGGCUCGCUGCGCAGGGGAAGGGCCCGACCGUCAGCGGCCGCUGCGGGCAGAAGGGGAACUGGGACGUCGGCGGCGGCGGCGUCCCAGGGACAGGGCACGGCGGCACGCACUGUGGGCCCACGCACAGGCACACUGUGCGCCGCCGUCCGCCAGCGCGCCGUUGUUCGACAGGAGCAGCCACAGCCACGCGGCCACGACGAGCAGGACCGCCGGUGACGGGUUCGUGCAGUCCCGUGAGGACCGCGCCGUGUGGGAUGCCGAGAUGAUGUUGCCGGAGAAGGAGUCUCCGACUACCUCACGCUCGCCGCUGGCCUGCACAUCAGGAUCAGGUAACCCGCCCGCCGCUGGCCUGCACAUCACUGAAUAAACUUCUGUAAAUUUCAGAGAUGAUGCAUGAAGUUUUUGUACUCUGAAAGCUUAGGACUACACUGGAUAAAUUUCUGUAAAUUUGUGAGUACUACUGCUUGUAGGGUGUGUACUCUGAAAGAUUAGGAUUAGAUGAUGCAUGCAUCUGCUUAUGAUAAAUUUCAGUAACCA